rnacentral:rRNA from 1 species
UACGUAGGGGGCAAGCGUUGUCCGGAAUCAUUGGGCGUAAAGAGCGUGUAGGCGGCCUUAUAAGUCGGCUGUGAAAGUCAAGGGCUCAACCCUUGAAUGCCGGCCGAUACUGUGAGGCUAGAGUCCGGAAGAGGCGAGUGGAAUUCCUGGUGUAGCGGUGAAAUGCGCAGAUAUCAGGAGGAACACCGAUGGCGAAGGCAGCUCGCUGGGACGUUACUGACGCUGAGACGCGAAAGCGUGGGGAGCAAACAGG